rnacentral:rRNA from 1 species
UCCUGUCUGAAUAUGGGGGGACCAUCCUCCAAGGCUAAAUACUCCUGACUGACCGAUAGUGAACCAGUACCGUGAGGGAAAGGCGAAAAGAACCCCGGCGAGGGGAGUGAAAAAGAACCUGAAACCGUGUACGUACAAGCAGUGGGAGCCUCUUUUAUGGGGUGACUGCGUACCUUUUGUAUAAUGGGUCAGCGACUUAUAUUCUGUAGCAAGGUUAACCGAAUAGGGGAGCCGAAGGGAAACCGAGUCUUAACUGGGCGUUAAGUUGCAGGGUAUAGACCCGAAACCCGGUGAUCUAGCCAUGGGCAGGUUGAAGGUUGGGUAACACUAACUGGAGGACCGAACCGACUAAUGUUGAAAAAUUAGCGGAUGACUUGUGGCUGGGGGUGAAAGGCCAAUCAAACCGGGAGAUAGCUGGUUCUCCCCGAAAGCUAUUUAGGUAGCGCCUCGUGAAUUCAUCUCCGGGGGUAGAGCACUGUUUCGGCAAGGGGGUCAUCCCGACUUACCAACCCGAUGCAAACUGCGAAUACCGGAGAAUGUUAUCACGGGAGACACACGGCGGGUGCUAACGUCCGUCGUGAAGAGGGAAACAACCCAGACCGCCAGCUAAGGUCCCAAAGUCAUGGUUAAGUGGGAAACGAU